GAUGAACGCUUACAGAAUGCUUAACACAUGCAAGUCUUUGGCGAAGCUGUGCUUGCACAGCCUAGCCAAGGCGGACGGGUGAGUAACGCGUAAGGAACUUGCCCUGCAGUCAGGGAUAACAGACGGAAACGACUGAUAAGACCUGGUAAAGUCAGGCGGACUCAUGUCCAGCCUGAUGAAAAGAGAUGCUGCAGGAGAGCCUUGCGUCCUAUUAGCUUGUUGGUGGGGUAACGGCCCACCAAGGCGAUGAUAGGUAGCCGGCCUGAGAGGGUGGACGGCCACAAGGGGACUGAGAUACGGCCCUUACUCCUACGGGAGGCAGCAGUGGGGAAUAUUGGACAAUGGGGGCAACCCUGAUCCAGCAAUUCUGUGUGCACGAUGAAGGUUUUCGGAUUGUAAAGUGCUUUCAGCAGGGAAGAAAAAAUGACGGUACCUGCAGAAGAAGCGACGGCUAAAUACGUG
rnacentral:rRNA from 1 species